AUUGGACGCUGGCGGCAGGCCUAACACAUGCAAGUCGAGCGGAUGAAGGGAGCUUGCUCCUGGAUUCAGCGGCGGACGGGUGAGUAAUGCCUAGGAAUCUGCCUGGUAGUGGGGGAUAACGUCCGGAAACGGGCGCUAAUACCGCAUACGUCCUGAGGGAGAAAGUGGGGGAUCUUCGGACCUCACGCUAUCAGAUGAGCCUAGGUCGGAUUAGCUAGUUGGUGGGGUAAAGGCCUACCAAGGCGACGAUCCGUAACUGGUCUGAGAGGAUGAUCAGUCACACUGGAACUGAGACACGGUCCAGACUCCUACGGGAGGCAGCAGUGGGGAAUAUUGGACAAUGGGCGAAAGCCUGAUCCAGCCAUGCCGCGUGUGUGAAGAAGGUCUUCGGAUUGUAAAGCACUUUAAGUUGGGAGGAAGGGCAGUAAGUUAAUACCUUGCUGUUCUGACGUUACCAACAGAAUAAGCACCGGCUAACUUCGUG
rnacentral:rRNA from 1 species